UACGAAGGGGGGCUAGCGUUACUCGGAAUUACUGGGCGUAAAGGGCGCGUAGGCGGCGCUCCAAGUUAGGCGUGAAAGUCCUGGGCUCAACCUGGGAACUGCGCUUGAUACUGGAGUGCUUGAGGAUGGAAGAGGGUCGUGGAAUUCCCAGUGUAGAGGUGAAAUUCGUAGAUAUUGGGAAGAACACCGGUGGCGAAGGCGGCGACCUGGUCCAUUACUGACGCUGAGGCGCGACAGCGUGGGGGAGCAAACAGG
rnacentral:rRNA from 1 species